rnacentral:tRNA from 1 species
GGAAGAUUGACCGAGUUGGUAAGGUGCUACCCUGCUAAGGUAAGGUCACCCUUCUGGGUGCGAAGGUUCGAGUCCUUCAUCUUCCG